rnacentral:lncRNA from 1 species
CAUUGACUGCAGUAUCUAAUUUUCUGGCUGGUUUGAUCUUGAGAUCUCUCCCUGUGUUUAUAAUGUUGAGUUUCUCGUUGUAGUUGCAUAACAGACUUGACUUCCUCCGCUGGCAUUAUCCAGGUAUUGGCGGUUUUUGAGGUUUAUAGACUUGCAAGCUUCUGGUACAGCACUGCCUUUAUACGCUUUGCAAAUGUAGGCCAUGAAGUUUUGGUAGUCCUGAUUCAGACAAAAGAAAACAGAUUGAUUUCAAAGAAUUACAAAGCAAAGAACAAGGAAAAAACUAGCUUGAAUCGAAGCUGACCAACCUCCUGGAGAGGGUGAUUAUCGACAAUGACCCAUGGAACAAAUCGGUGAGGCGGAUUGAGGCGAGUAGUUUCAGAAGCAUAGUAUUGUUCAAGCUGCAUUUCAUUGACUUACUCAGGAUUCAAUCAAGAAAGAAACAGAAAUAGAAGCUGUUAAGUAAGCAAUGCUAC